UACGGGGGGGGCAAGCGUUGUUCGGAAUUACUGGGCGUAAAGGGUGCGUAGGCGGUUCGUUAAGUUGGAUGUGAAAACUCUGGGCUCAACCCAGAGCCUGCAUCCAAAACUGGCGGGCUAGAGUUCUGGAGGGGGUAGCGGAAUUCCUGGUGUAGCGGUGAAAUGCGUAGAUAUCAGGAGGAACACCGGUGGCGAAGGCGGUGGUCUGGGCCGGCACUGACGCUGAGGAGCGAAAGCGUGGGGAGCGAACAGG
rnacentral:rRNA from 1 species